GCAGUGGUAGCUCAGUGCCAGAGCCCCAGUCUUGUAAACUGGCCGUCGGAGGUUAAAAUCCUCCCCACUGCU
rnacentral:tRNA from 1 species